GACACAGGCACACAAAGAGGGAAGACCAUGUGAAGUUUACAGGGGGAAAGCAACCACUUAGAAAUCAGGGAGAGAGACCUCUGAAGAAACCAACCUUCCUGACACCUCCAGAAUUGCUGAACGUCUUUCAAAUAAAAACACAACCUUAAGAAAAUCACAAGAAACCAGAUCAAAGACAUAAAUAGAACAAAAUAUGCACAAGAGAUCUCAUCCAAGAUCAAAGAUGUGAAUGUAAUUGCCAUGAAUAAGAAGUGCAGAGCUCACCAGAACAGAAUGUCUUCGGUGCACAGAGAAUUAUACCCAAAAAAGAAAAAGAAUAAAAGGAGGGGAAAAAAAGUAUCUGGGAAAUCAAACCCUCCACAGAGCAAUAGCAGGAUGCAGGAAGGAGGAGAGGGAGAGUGAGCAGGAAACAGAAACAGAGAGACAACUUGUGAG
rnacentral:lncRNA from 1 species